rnacentral:rRNA from 1 species
UACAGAGGGUGCAAACGUUGCUCGGAAUCAUUGGGCGUAAAGCGCAUGUAGGCGGCCCAGCAAGUGGGGCGUGAAAUCCCACGGCUCAACCGUGGAACUGCUCGGUAUACUGGGUAUCUUGAGCCACUUAGGGGCGACCGGAACAAAUGGUGGAGCGGUGAAAUGCGCAGAUAUCAUUUGGAACGCCAAUGGUGAAAACAGGUCGCUGGGAGUGUGCUGACGCUGAGACACGAAAGCCAUGGGAGCAAACGGG